UACGUAGGUGGCAAGCGUUGUCCGGAUUUACUGGGCGUAAAGAGCGCGCAGGCGGUCGUACAAGUCGCGUGUGAAAGCCCCCGGCUCAACUGGGGAGGGUCACGCGAUACUGUUCGACUCGAAGGCAGGAGAGGGAAGCAGAAUUCCCGGUGUAGUGGUGAAAUGCGUAGAUAUCGGGAGGAACACCGAUGGCGAAGGCAGCUCGCUGGGACGGUACUGACGCUGAGGCGCGAAAGCGUGGGGAGCGAACAGG
rnacentral:rRNA from 1 species